GAUGAACGCUGGCGGCGUGCUUAACACAUGCAAGUCGAACGAAGCAUUUAAGACAGAUUACUUCGGUUUGAAGUCUUUUAUGACUGAGUGGCGGACGGGUGAGUAACGCGUGGGUAACCUGCCUCAUACAGGGGGAUAGCAGCUGGAAACGGCUGGUAAUACCGCAUAAGCGCACAGUACCACAUGGUACAGUGUGAAAAACUCCGGUGGUAUGAGAUGGACCCGCGUCUGAUUAGCUUGUUGGCGGGGUAACGGCCCACCAAGGCGACGAUCAGUAGCCGAGCUGAGAGCGUGACCGGCCACAUUGGGACUGCGACACGGCCCAGACUCCUACGGGAGGCAGCAGUGGGGAAUAUUGCACGAUGAAGGAAACUCUGAUGCAGCGACGCCGCGUGAGUGAAGAAGUAGUUCGCAAUGUAAAGCUCUAUCAGCAGGGAAGAUAGUGACGGUACCUGACUAAGAAGCUCCGGCUAAAUACGUG
rnacentral:rRNA from 1 species